ACGGGAGGCAGCAGUGGGGAAUCUUGCUCAAUGGGCGCAAGCCUGAAGCAGCGACGCCGCGUGUGGGAAGAAGGUCUUCGGAUUGUAAACCACUUUCAGGAGGGAAGAAGCGAGAGUGACGGUACCUCCAGAAGAAGGCCCGGCCAACUACGUGCCAGCAGCCGCGGUAAUACGUAGGGGCCAAGCGUUGUCCGGAAUUAUUGGGCGUAAAGAGCUCGUAGGCGGCCCAUCAAGUCGGAUGUGAAAUCUCAAGGCUCAACCUUGAAAUUGCAUCCGAUACUGCUGGGCUUGAGGCAGGUAGGGGAAAGCGGAAUUCCUGGUGUAGCGGUGAAAUGCGCAGAUAUCAGGAGGAACACCGGUGGCGAAGGCGGCUUUCUGGGCCUGUACUGACGCUGAGGAGCGAAAGCGUGGGGAGCAAACAGGAUUAGAUACCCUGGUA
rnacentral:rRNA from 1 species